AGCGAACGCUGGCGGCAGGCCUAACACAUGCAAGUCGAACGAACCCUUCGGGGUUAGUGGCGGACGGGUGAGUAACACGUGGGAACGUACCUUUAGGUUCGGAACAACACAGGGAAACUUGUGCUAAUGCCGAAUGUGCCCUUCGGGGAAAGAUUUAUCGCCUUUAGAGCGGCCCGCGUCUGAUUAGCUUGUUGGUGAGGUAAAGGCUCACCAAAGGCUACGAUCAGUAGCUGGUCUGAGAGGAUGAUCAGCCACACUGGGACUGAGACACGGCCCAGACUCCUACGGGAGGCAGCAGUGGGGAAUCUUGCGCAAAUGGGCGAAAGCCUGACGCAGCCAUGCCGCGUGAAAUGAUGAAGGUCUUAGGAUUGUAAAAUUCUUUCACCGGGGAAGAUAAAUGACGGUACCCGGAGAAGAAGCCCCGGCUAAACUUCGUGCCAGCAGCCGCGGUAAU
rnacentral:rRNA from 1 species